ACGCUGGCGGCGUGCCUAACACAUGCAAGUCGAGCGGAGAUACUUUAUAAGCUUGCUUAAGGAGUAUCUUAGCGGCGGAUGGGUGAGGAACGCGUGGAGAACCUGCCCUUCACAGGGGGAUAACAGUUGGAAACGACUGUUAAUACCGCAUAUGCUCACAGCACCGCAUGGUGCAGGGAGGAAAGCGCUAGUGGUGAAGGAUGGCUCCGCGUCGGAUUAGCCAGUUGGCGGGGUAACGGCCCACCAAAGCGAUGAUCCGUAGCCGGCCUGAGAGGGCGACCGGCCACAUUGGGACUGAGACACGGCCCAAACUCCUACGGGAGGCAGCAGUGGGGGAUAUUGCACAAUGGGCGAAAGCCUGAUGCAGCGACGCCGCGUGAAGGAAGACGUACCUCGGUAUGUAAACUUCUAUCAGCAGGGAAGAAGAUGACGGUACCUGACUAAGAAGCCCCGGCUAACUACGUGCCAGCAGCUGC
rnacentral:rRNA from 1 species